GCGGAGCGCUCCUCUGACUUUGAGCAGGUUGCAGGUUUCCCCUCAGAGUCUUGAGAGUAGUCUCCUUUACUUUUGUGAAACAAGAAUUGUCGAUUGACGCUCACAGAGCGGGCUUUGGAGACACCUAGAGGGACCUUUCAGCCAGUAAUGCCAUGAUUCUGCCAGGCACAUGGGGGUUGGCGCCAACGAGGCCGUUGAGACCGCUGGCCGUGUUAGGCCCCCCCCAUACAACAGCCUAGUUCUGGUCGCUGAAGAGGAAGGUCUUGGAGGCCGUGCUCAAAACUGAGCCCGCAGGAGAGGAGGUUGGCGGUCGUCGGAGCUUGCCAGCAUCGUGGCCCUCAGAACUCCUGUUUACCGCAGAUACUCGGGACCCUGGCUGCCGGGCCUUGGAGAUCUGCAUCCUGCAGACUUAGUCAUGCACCAGGACUCUUGAUGGAGUAAGAAUGUUAGCAAAGGACUUCUGCUCCUGUCUCUUUGGUAGUGAAGGACCUGAUACCGGGCACAGUGGAAUGCUAGCUCACUCGUCUCUUCCCUUGUCAGGAAAGUUGGUGGAAGAAGAGACACUUGGAGAAUCAAGACUCUCCCAUGAGUAGGUUGGGUGCUGAGAAGAACAGUUGUCAGAAAAGGAAACACAAAGAAUGGGAAUGGCUUUUCAUCCUGGUUGCGGGAAGAAUAAACACAUUUCAUAGAGCCAAGCUGCAAGGGGAUUGUUCCGAGACUGGAAAUCUAUUCAGGACACGGAUUAAACUCUGUCACUGCUGUUGAUUACAUCUGAUGAACAUGGAUUUUCUUGAAUCCCUGAAGCAGAGACAAGUCUUUGCCUACUUAAAGGUAACCUAAAAUAUAAAAGGGUUU